CAGUCGCCACGGGAAUACGAAGGGGGCUAGCGCUGUUCGGAUUUACUGGGCGUAAAGGGUGCGUAGGCGGACUGAUAAGUCAGGGGUGAAAUCCCAAGGCUCAACCUUGGAACUGCCUUUGAUACUGUUAGUCUUGAGUUCGAGAGAGGUGAGUGGAACCGCGAGUGUAGAGGUGAAAUUCGUAGAUAUUCGCAAGAACACCAGUGGCGAAGGCGGCUCACUGGCUCGAAACUGACGCUGAGGCACGAAAGCGUGGGGAGCAAACAGGAUUAGAUACCCCGGUAGUCCCUGUCUCUUAUAC
rnacentral:rRNA from 1 species